UGUCUUUUUGAUAAUAAUUUAAAGUCUAAUCUGCCCACUGAAAUUUUAAAUGGCCGCGGUAUUUUGACCGYGCAAAGGUAGCAUAAUAAUUAGUUUUUUAAUUGAAAGCUGGAAUGAAUGAUUGGAUGASAAAAAAGCUGUCUCAAAUUAAUUUAAUUAGAAUUUUAUUUUUAAGUUAAAAAGCUUAAAUUAAAUUUAAAGACGAGAAGACCCUAUAGAGUUUUAUAAAUUUUAUUAUUUAAAUUAAUAGUUUUAAUUAUUUAAAUUUUUAUUAUUUAUUUUGUUGGGGUGAUAGAAAAAUUAACUUAACUUUUUYUAAAUUUUUUCAUUUAUAAAUGUUUAAUUGAUCCAUAAUUAAUGAUUAUAAGAUUAAAUUACCUUAGGGAUAACAGCGUAAUUUUUUUAAAGAGUUCAAAUCGAAAAAAAAGAUUGCGACCUCGAUGUUGGAUUAAAGUAAAUUUUUGGUGUAAAAACUAAAAUAUUAGGUCUGUUCGACCUUUAAAACUUU
rnacentral:rRNA from 1 species